UACAGAGGGUGCGAGCGUUAAUCGGAAUUACUGGGCGUAAAGGGUGCGUAGGUGGUUAUGUAAGUUAGAUGUGAAAUUCCUGGGCUUAACCUGGGGACUGCGUCUGAUACUGCAAAGCUAGAGUACUGUAGAGGGAAGUGGAAUUUCCGGUGUAGCAGUGAAAUGCGUAGAUAUCGGAAGGAACAUCAGUGGCGAAGGCGACUUUCUGGACAGAUACUGACACUGAGGCACGAAAGCGUGGGGAGCAAACAGG
rnacentral:rRNA from 1 species